rnacentral:rRNA from 1 species
UACGUAGGGGGGCAAGCGUUUGUCCGGAAUUAUUGGGCGUAAAGAGCGCGUAGGCGGUCCGAUAAGUCGGCUGUGAAAGUCUAGGGCUCAACCCUGGAAAGCCGGCCGAUACUGUCGGACUAGAGUCCGGAAGAGGCAAGUGGAAUUCCCGGUGUAGCGGUGAAAUGCGCAGAUAUCGGGAGGAACACCAAUGGCGAAGGCAGCUUGCUGGGACGGUACUGACGCUGAGGCGCGAAAAGCGUGGGGGAGCAAAACAGGG